UCGGGAAUUUUGGGCAAUGGGCGAAAGCCUGACCCAGCAACGCCGCGUGAAGGAUGAAAUCCUUCGGGAUGUAAACUUCGCAAGAACGGGAAGAAUAAGUGAGAGUUAAUAUCUCUCGCGAUGACGGUACCGUUUGUAAGCUCCGGCUAACUCCGUGCCAGCAGCCGCGGUAAUACGGGGGGAGCAAGCGUUGUUCGGAUUUACUGGGCGUAAAGGGCGCGUAGGCGGCCACCGCAAGUCGACUGUGAAAUCUCCGGGCUUAACCCGGAAAGGUCAGCCGAUACUGCGGGGCUAGAGUGCAGAAGGGGCAACUGGAAUUCUCGGUGUGGCGGUGAAAUGCGUAGAUAUCGAGAGGAACACCUGCGGCGAAGGCGGGUUGCUGGGCUGACACUGACGCUGAGGCGCGAAAGCUAGGGGAGCGAACGGG
rnacentral:rRNA from 1 species